rnacentral:rRNA from 1 species
UACAGAGGGUGCAAGCGUUGUUCGGAAUUAUUGGGCGUAAAGGGCGCGUAGGCGGUGCGGUAAGUCGGGUGUGAAAUUUCGAGGCUUAACUUCGAAACUGCAUUCGAUACUGCCGUGCUUGAGGACUGGAGAGGAGACUGGAAUUUACGGUGUAGCGGUGAAAUGCGUAGAUAUCAGGAGGAACACCAAUGGCGAAGGCAGCUCGCUGGGACGUGACUGACGCUGAGACGCGAAAGCGUGGGGAGCAAACAGG